GUGUGAACAGUGUCUAAAAGUGUAGAAUAAACGUGUGUUGCCUCCUACUUAUUAGUGUCUCAGAAGUGACUCACUACACUAACACUGAACUAUUUUUAUUUUAAAAGGUAUAGGCCCCCCUGAGCUAUGCAGCUCUUUUUUUAGAAGUGACCAAAUUAUAAUAGCUCGACAGAAGUGGCUGAUAUCUGUAUGUGGGAAUUCAUAGCAGCAGUCAAAUACUCUUAAACGUGUGAUGUUGAUUCUAAAUAUGGAGGGUAAUAAACCGGAGGACCUGGAGAAAAAUCCACGCGACCACCAAGGGGAGAGAGAGAGACACGCAAACUUAAAAUAUACAGCAGGCAUUGUCAGGGUUGGGAUUGAACCAACAACCUCCUCCAUACUAUGCAAGGUAGUCAACAUCUGCUAGCCACCGUGGCGCCCGGAUUCAGUUUCACGGGGUGGCACUGGGGCUGUUGUUGUUUGGGCCACUUAGUAACCACCUGUGGUCAUCAAGAACCAGACGGUAGACCGUCGGCGCAAACCGUACAGCCCAGAAAAGCGGCGGAUACCGGGAAGGUACCCCCUGGAACGCAUACUCUGGGGACACAGCCAACAGCUGAUAAACUUCAUCAGCUGCUGCCUGCGAUGGGAUCCCAAGAUCCGCAUGACGCCCGAACAGGCGCUGCGUCACAGCUGGCUGCAGACCACAGCCACGACCACCACCACCAGUGCCACCACCAGCACCACAACCACUAGGAUCCCCAGCGCCACCACCAACACUGCCACCACCACCGCCACCACCGCCAGCAGCACCAACGCCACCACCGCCACCACCACCACUGCCAGCGCCACCACCGCCAGUGCCAUCGCCGCCAGCACCACCACCAGCAGAAGGAAUGCCAGCCACCACCACCACCAACACCGCUAUCACCACCACCACCGCCACUCCUGGCUCUGGAGCUGCCGACCCACGAGUGGAGCCGGAGCAGCCCCCAUCAUCAUCAUCAACAUCCUCACCGCUGGCCCAGAACUUGGGAGAGAGGGCGGAGGAUGUGGAGGAGGAGGUGAAGGAGGAGGUGGUGGCGACGGAGGUGGAGAAGAAGACAGGGGAUGAGGAGGAGGUGGAGACAGAGAAGGAAGAGUCUGAGGACUGAGGAGGGUGACGAGGAGGACGACGAAGAUGACGACGAGAAGGAGAAGGAUGAUGACAAGGAGGACGAGGAGGACGAUGACAAGCAAAAGGAUGACGACAAGGAGGAGGACAAGGAGAAGGAUGACGACAAGGAGGAUGACUAAGGAGGAUGACAAGGAGGAGGACGAGGAAGACGAUGACAAGGAGAAGGAUGACGAUAAGGAGGAUGACAAGGAGAAGGAUGUACGACAAGGAGGAGGAGGGGGAGGACGGCAAGGCACAGAAGGAUGACAACAAGGAGGACGAGGAGGAGGAGGAGGAGAAGGUGGAGGAGGUGCAGCAGCAGCAGGAGAAGAGAAAGCGAGGGAACCUGGAGCGUGUGGGCAGGGCACUCCGCUCACUCCGCUCGCUUCUCCGCCGCAUGCUGCGGUAUGGUGGCCGGCCCACCACACAAUAGGGGGUGGCGGUGGUGGUGGAGUCGGUGCCAACCACCACCACCACGAGCAGCCCACCACCCAUCAUCCACCCCCGCAUGAUACCACACACACACCACACACACAGACACACACUACACUCACUCACCACACUAACAACACUCACCACCAUGGGACAGGCUGUGGCAGAAGACUGAAGAGCGGACACCAGAAAUAGACUGGACACUGCACUCAUUGCACUCACCACACGCACCACACACACACCACACGCACACACACUACACUCAUCACACUGACCACACGCAGCACACGCACACUACAUGCACGAACACCACGCUAACCACACUCACACCACACGUACACACACUACAUUCACCACAUGUGUAGUAAGUUCGAGGAGACGAUGUCGAAGUUGAGGCACACUCUGUUUAUUAACCCAGGGACAGGCACAAUAGUUGAAGGGGUAUCGGCCCCUUUCACCCGUACUAUGGGAAACCCACCCUAGUACUAAGCCCUCUGUCCUGUUCCCCAGUCCUCCUCUACUGGGCUACGGGAGGCUGACUGAUCUGGCCCUGGCAAGCACAGAUCUCGGCACCAGCUAACCAGCCUUGCCCUGAUAAGGGCAGCGGUCUGGAAGCUUUUGGGCCGCGCCGCUGGCUUACCCGGCUCGGCCCUUAUAAGGACGGCGAGACCGGGGAGUCCCAGGGCCUAAUCUCCGAGUCUUGGAUCUUCACUGGUCAGCUUCGUGUCGAACUGCCUCGAGCUCUUUGGGUCUCCACCUUUUAUAGGGAUCACCUCCGAGGGCUGGGGGCGUGGGCAAUAAC